rnacentral:rRNA from 1 species
UUGAACGCUGGCGGAAUGCCUUACACAUGCAAGUCGAACGGCAGCACGGGAGCAAUCCUGGUGGCGAGUGGCGAACGGGUGAGUAAUACAUCGGAACGUGCCCAAUCGUGGGGGAUAACGUAGCGAAAGCUACGCUAAUACCGCAUACGAUCUACGGAUGAAAGCGGGGGAUCGCAAGCCCUCGCGCGAAUGGAGCGGCCGAUGGCAGAUUAGGUAGUUGGUGGGGUAAAGGCUCACCAAGCCUGCGAUCUGUAGCUGGUCUGAGAGGACGACCAGCCACACUGGGACUGAGACACGGCCCAGACUCCUACGGGAGGCAGCAGUGGGGAAUUUUGGACAAUGGGCGCAAGCCUGAUCCAGCCAUUCCGCGUGCAGGAUGAAGGCCUUCGAGUUGUAAACUGCUUUUGUACGGAACGAAAAGCCGCUUUUUAAUACAGAGCGGUCAUGACGGUACCGUAAGAAUAAGCACCGGCUAACUACGU